CAGUAGCCGCGGUAAUACGUAGGGGGCGAGCGUUGUCCGGAAUUACUGGGCGUAAAGGGUUCGCAGGCGGCAUGACAAGUCCGAUGUAAAAGGCGAAAGCUCAACUUUCGUAAGCAUCGGAAACUGUCAAGCUUGAGUGAAGGAGAGGCAAGUGGAAUUCCUAGUGUAGCGGUGGAAUGCGUAGAUAUUAGGAGGAAUACCGGUGGCGAAGGCGACUUGCUGGACUUCAACUGACGCUGAGGAACGAAAGCGUGGGUAGCAAACAGGAUUAGAUACCCGGGUAGUCCCUGUCUCUUAUACA
rnacentral:rRNA from 1 species